rnacentral:rRNA from 1 species
UCCCAUAGUAACUGCGAGUGAAAGGGGAACAGCCCAGCGCCGAAUCCUGUUGCUGGCAACGGUGGCAGGAACUGUGGCGUGAAGAAGGUGGUUACCGGUGUGGCUUGCUCGCGUAAGUUCUCCUGAGUGAGGCUCCAUCCCGUGGAGGGUGCAAGGCCCGUAUCGUGAGCAGUUGAUGCCGGUGUACAUCUUCGGAGAGUCGCCUUGUUUGUGAGUACAAGGUGAAGUCGGUGGUAAACUCCAUCGAAGGCUAAAUAUGACCACGAGUCCGAUAGCGAACAAGUACCGUGAGGGAAAAUUGAAAAGCACUUUGAAGAGAGAGCGAAACAGUGCGUGAAACCGCUCAGAGGCAAGCAGAUGGGGCCUCGAAGGCAAAGCAGUGAAUUCAGCCGGUACGGUGCGUGGCGGGUUGGUGUUGAGAUCGCAAGACUCUAGCCGAUUCUGUUCUCUGCGUGUCUGCCGGUGCACUUUUGCUGUUUGUACGUCACCGCCGUUGAGCGAGCAUCCGUCGGGUAUGCGUGUGAAGCCUUAUUCCUUCGGGCGUAGGUGCUUACUGCUAACUCUGUACGCGUUUGCGCUUCAACCGGUCAUGUCAGCGUGUGCCAGCGUUAGCGUUGGGUCGGUAUGCUCUGUGGUGCGUUGUGGGAUGACGAGCUUGCUCGGCUCCUCAUCGUGCAAUAGACUCGUUGCCGGCUUUCAACGUGGGCACAUUGUAGAUUCGGUGGCGAGUAGAUGGC